UAUUCUACAACCAAUUACAAACCUAGGCAAACAAAGUCUAAACAAGACAAUAACUAAAGCAUAGAAAUCUUAACACACAGAGUUCUAAUGAAACAGCAAACAAAGCACAGAAUUCCUAACAAGCAGAACUAGUAAGACUAUAAGCAAAGCACAUAUCUGACAUUACAGCCUCUAGGUAAAUCAGCCUCCCAUCUGACCCCAAGCAGGAUUUUCCAACCGUGGGCUGUCACGAGCCAAAGGAUGGUCGUGAUGGUUCGUUUUGAUUUCAGAGUGCAAAAAGAGGCAGUGAUAACUUAAUUCAAGUGAAAUCAAUUGUAUCUUUAUUGAUACACACAGUUAUGCGAUAGAAAAGAAGGGGAAAGAAGAGAGGGAGAGAGAGAGGGAGAGAAAGGGGGGUAAAGAAAGGGUAUAGCUACCAACUGACAGACGGGGGUCCUCGUGACGCCGAUGCCAACAGACCACCUUCGCAGUCUCCGUGGCACGUAGGUCAAUAGAGC